ensembl:lncRNA
AGUACUGCUCUCCCACACCGGAGUGCAAGAAGCUGAGUUCUUAGCACUGGCGUGCCGUUGCUUCACAGUACCAGCACAAAGGGUUGGCGGUAUGUGUCAGCCUGCACGUCUUUGAAGGUGCUGGGAAUGAUUACACAGCCAGGGAGAAGAACUUGCCAGUGAUCGCGAGAGACACCGAGCAGUCCUCUCCAGACAUUCGUUGUCGAUCCUUUGUCAUACUUGCUCAGAAUUGGACGGCUUCGGAGAUUCUUCCAGAUGAUAACGCUAUAACCGAUUUGAGGAACCUUCGCACCUUUCCAGCUUCCCCUCACGUCCCUUCGCUCUCGUUUCGGGGGAGAAGUGCCCCUCUGUACUCUCCCAGGAGAAUAGCUCCGCAGCCACGGAAGCUCCUGGGCUCUUCCUAUAGCUCCUUUUUUACUCCGUUUUCUGGGCUGAGGGAGGCCGCCCUCAGCUGACGGGGGUCAACCUCCCGCCGCCGAAGGAGCCUCCCCGACGGCACAGAGCAGCCCCGGGCGGGCGCCGCGCUCCUCGCGUCCCCCGAGCUCUGGUUUUCUUCUUCCUGAAGCGCUGUGUACACAAAGGGCUCGCUUCUGCCUUUCAAUUAGGUGGCUGAGGAGCGCUACCGGAGGAGCCCGGGAUCCCCGAGGGCGCGGAGCUGCGUGCGAGUCCCACAGCCGGAGGAGAAAGGAAACGCGAAGAGCUUCUUCCAGCGGACGCUGCUCCCCUUCCCCUCCAUCCUGCGGGGUGAGGAACGGAGGGGCUCGGAGAGCGGCGGGGGGGAGGGUGGGAGGAAUCGCUAUUUUCCUUGAAGAACAAUUCAGGACAAUUAUUAUUAAUGCACGCAGCCGGCACCUGCGCGGCUCUCUGCCCGCUUCCCGAAUGGUACUUUUACUGCCCGUAAGCGGCGAACCAGGGCCGGUAAUAGGAUCAGGAAGGGAGGCGUUAGGCGGAAUGCCGCUGCGGCACUACUCGUAAAGGCGCGCUCCCGACAAACGCCUUCGGCCGAGAGGCUGUAAACGUUUUACGGGUAAUGAGAAAGGCAAGGGUUUGGCACGAAGGGGCGGGAAGGGUCGCACCACCUUUUGCUGGACGGGGCCGUGCUCGUUGCUGAAUGCUGGCGUGGGGGCUUCGGCCCGCCGAACGACCACGGAAAGCAAACCAGUAACUUUUACAGAGGAAAGUAAAAUAUUUCAAGUCAAGAACUCCUCUAGUAGCUGAAAAUUAACCUCUGACAACACGCGAGAUUUUCCCUCCCCGCCAUAUCAAAGAAACGUCUGUACGUUAAUUUCACCCUGAAAGAUUUGAGAAAUAACAGCGCCUCAGGGCAAAUUUUCAGCUUCAGAAGGACCCUUUGAGUCGAAGUAGGCGCAGAGAGUACGCCCAAAGCCGCGCAAUACAGCCUCAUUGAUUUUGCUGCGGUGUUCGCACGCCCGGGGAGUACAGAAGCGCAGAUCCCUGAGUUCUUCUGACGAGAUUUUAAUUAGGAAAUGGAAUUCCCCGCUCUGGAGCUGUGCCUUCGUGUAGAUGAGGCAUGACGGCUGGGAGCUUUGCCGAGGGGUGGGUUGGGGUCACGGUGACGAGAGGAGCGGAGCCAGGGCCGCCCCAAACGGCGGCUCUCUUCCUUCCGUCCUCCGUUCUUCUUUCCUUCCUUUUUUUUUUUUUUUCUUUCUCCCUUCGGUAUGCUGCUGAGAACCGACCCCGUGAAUUUCCCGAAGUGGGCCCCUUGGCGUUAUCACCGCUUAAUUCGAACGUUCCUUCCAAGAGGAAAGCAGCAGAGAGGCAAGGUGCUUGCCGCUAGCUCAGCCUGUGCGUUGUUGCCGUGGAUACGGUUCUAAAGCGGUUCGAUUUUAUCGAUGCAAAAGAAAACGUUGAAAAUUGAGGUAAGGAUUGGAUUAGCUCCGUGUCUGCCACCGCGGUGCAGUGUGCGCUGCGCGACGCGUACGAGCGGAGCUACCGCUUGCUCAGAGCUGACCUUGAGAAAGGGAAGAGCGUGACGAGGCGGGCACCGCUCCGUCGGGCUACAGCGCAUCUGUUAUCUUUAAAUGUUUGAAUCCCUUCGUCAAGAUUAUGGCGUUAUUCCAAGUGGUAAAACGCGGCUAUUUCGCUUCUCACUGCCGCAAGAAAAUAGAAACCUCCACUUUCCCCACUCUAGAAAGCAUUUUAAACCCAAAGCAUCAGAGUGUUUUUGCUUUUUAUUUUGCUUUCCCGAUUCAUAGCUGAGACGUUACAAACGAUUACGGGUUGGAAAACCUAUCGGAAACAGUGUGGUCACGUUAUGACAAAGCGCUAAUCUGACGCUUGCAAAACGGUGACAGUUGUAACGUUGUUUUUUUUUUCCUUCUCUCUCCCUUCUCCCCCUUUUGUUUCCUUUCCUUUAAAGACAAACAUUUCGAAAAAUAAAAUAAAUAUUAAUAAUAAUCCCAAACGCUCCCGCGGUGACAGUUAGUCCCCUCUCCCCAGUGCAAGGAGUCAGGCCGGGCAAUUGGAAGCUCAUGUAAUUAUUUUCAUUCUAAUCGCUUUAAUCCCCCCCCUCCCCCCCGCCGAGAGCAAAUGACGCUAAUGGGACCCACGUGGAGGAGCCCCGGGGUGGCGGCGCGGCUCCUCCCGGCCCCGUGCCCGGGCAGGUGGAGCCGGCGGGGCGGGGCUCGCCUCGGUCGGAGGCUUUACAAUAAAUAAAAUACUGC